UACGUAGGGUGCGAGCGUUAAUCGGAAUUACUGGGCGUAAAGAGCGUGUAGGCGGCCAGGUAGGUCGGUUGUGAAAACUGGAGGCUCAACCUUCAGAGGUCGACCGAAACCAUCUGGCUAGAGUCCGGGAGAGGAGAGUGGAAUUCCUGGUGUAGCGGUGAAAUGCGCAGAUAUCAGGAAGAACACCCGUGGCGAAAGCGGCUCUCUGGAACGGUACUGACGCUGAGACGCGAAAGCGUGGGGAGCGAACAGG
rnacentral:rRNA from 1 species